UACGGAGGAUGCAAGCGUUAUCCGGAAUGAUUGGGCGUAAAGCGUCCGCAGGUGGCGAUGUAAGUCUGCUGUUAAAGAGCAAAGCUUAACUUUGUAAAAGCAGUGGAAACUACAUCGCUAGAGUGCGUUCGGGGCAGAGGGAAUUCCUGGUGUAGCGGUGAAAUGCGUAGAGAUCAUGAGGAAGACCAGUGGCGAAGGCGGGUCUCUGGACAGUUCCUGACACUGAGGCACGAAAGCCAGGGGAGCAAACGGG
rnacentral:rRNA from 1 species